UACGGAGGGUGCAAGCGUUGUCCGGAUUUAUUGGGUUUAAAGGGUGCGUAGGUGGUUUGUUAAGUCUGGUUUGAAAGUUAGCUGCUCAACAGUUAGAUGUGGCUGGAAACUGGGGUUCUGGAAUGGGUUGGCGGCUGCCGGAACGGGUCAUGUAGCGGUGAAAUGCAUAGAUAUGACCCAGAACACCGAUUGCGAAGGCAGGCAGCUACGACCUGAUUGACACUGAGGCACGAGAGCAUGGGUAGCGAACAGG
rnacentral:rRNA from 1 species